CCUACGGGGGGCAGCAGUGAGGAAUAUUGGUCAAUGGACGAGAGUCUGAACCAGCCAAGUAGCGUGAAGGAUGACUGCCCUAUGGGUUGUAAACUUCUUUUAUAUGGGAAUAAAAUGUUCCACGUGUGGGAUUUUGUAUGUACCAUAUGAAUAAGGAUCGGCUAACUCCGUGCCAGCAGCCGCGGUAAUACGGAGGAUCCGAGCGUUAUCCGGAUUUAUUGGGUUUAAAGGGAGCGUAGGUGGAUUGUUAAGUCAGGUGUGAAAGUUUGCGGCUCAACCGUAAAAUUGCAGUUGAAACUGGCAGUCUUGAGUACAGUAGAGGUGGGCGGAAUUCGUGGUGUAGCGGUGAAAUGCUUAGAUAUCACGAAGAACUCCGAUCGCGAAGGCAGUUCACUGGACUGCAACUGACACUGAGGCUCGAAAGUGUGGGUAUCAAACAGGAUUAGAUACCCUAGUAGUC
rnacentral:rRNA from 1 species